rnacentral:lncRNA from 1 species
GAAUUCUCAUUGAGCAUCUCGCUUCUUACAAGUUUCAACAACUCAGCAGUCUAUAAUCCAACUCGCCUUCUCCGCAAUGCAAAAAGGUGCAAUGAGCUUCAUGCUGAAUACUGAUUUGAAGUGUGGUUCACCACACAGACUUAAAUUGUCCUUCCCACAACUUUAUCUGAGAAGCCUGACAACGGUGACAAUCACAGGACUAGUUUUAUUGG